rnacentral:rRNA from 1 species
UUUCUUUGCUGGCGACCGGCGCACGGGUGAGUAACACGUAUCCAACCUGCCCUUUACUCGGGGAUAGCCUUUCGAAAGAAAGAUUAAUACCCGAUAGCAUAAUGAUUCCGCAUGGUUUCAUUAUUAAAGGAUUCCGGUAAAGGAUGGGGAUGCGUUCCAUUAGGUUGUUGGUGAGGUAACGGCUCACCAAGCCUUCGAUGGAUAGGGGUUCUGAGAGGAAGGUCCCCCACAUUGGAACUGAGACACGGUCCAA